UACGGAGGGAGCUAGCGUUGUUCGGAAUUACUGGGCGUAAAGCGCGCGUAGGCGGCUUUGUAAGUUAGAGGUGAAAGCCCGGGGCUCAACCCCGGAACUGCCUUUAAAACUGCAUCGCUUGAAUCCGGGAGAGGUGAGUGGAAUUCCGAGUGUAGAGGUGAAAUUCGUAGAUAUUCGGAAGAACACCAGUGGCGAAGGCGGCUCACUGGACCGGCAUUGACGCUGAGGCGCGAAAGCUAGGGGAGCAAACGGG
rnacentral:rRNA from 1 species